AGAAUCGACACUGAUGAAGAAGCUCCUGCAUGUAGUCCAGCAGCCCGCAAGAAGUCCUACACACAGCUUGUGAAUGCUCCACAGAUCACAGCCCCUGAAGCCAUAUUUGGAGAAAAUUUGGCAUCUUCCUCAGCAGUCACCACGCAUUGGUCCCCUGAAGCUCCUACAUGUUCUCCACCAGCCCGCAAGAAGCCCUGCACACAGCUUGUGAAUGCUCCCCACAUCAAAGCCCCUGAAGCCCUAUUAGGAGAAAAUUUGCCAUCUUCCUCUAUCACCACGCCUUGGUCCCCUGUGGUCCCCACACCACCUUGGAAUCCACCUCGGAGGCCCUCAGAUUCCACUGCAGACCUUAUCCCUCCACAAGAACAGCAUUUGGAUCACUCCUUGACACCAGAACAUGGCCGGGUUUCUGUAGAGGCUGUGCCUACGUGUAUGCA